AGCCUGAACGCUGGCGGCAGGCUUAACACAUGCAAGUCGAGCGCAUCCUUCGGGGUGAGCGGCAGACGGGUGAGUAACGCGUGGGGAUAUGCCCAGAGGUGUGGAAUAACUCAGGGAAACUUGAGCUAAUACCGGAUACGCCCUUACGGGGAAAGAUUUAUUGCCGAAGGAACGGCCCGCGUCGGAUUAGCUAGUUGGUGAGGUAACGGCUCACCAAGGCGACGAUCCGUAGCUGGUCUGAGAGGAUGACCAGCCUCACUGGGACUGAGACACGGCCCAGACUCCUACGGGAGGCAGCAGUGGGAAUAUUGGACAAUGGGCGCAAGCCUGAUCCAGCCAUGCCGCGUGGAUGAUGAAGGCCCUAGGGUUGUAAAGUCCUUUAACGGGGAAGAUAAUGACGGUACCGUAGAAUAAGCCCGGCUAACUCGUGCCAGCAGCCGC
rnacentral:rRNA from 1 species